rnacentral:rRNA from 1 species
CCUACGGGAGGCAGCAGUGGGGAAUAUUGGACAAUGGGGGGAACCCUGAUCCAGCGACGCCGCGUGAGUGAAGAAGUAUUUCGGUAUGUAAAGCUCUAUCAGCAGGGAAGAAAGAAAUGACGGUACCUGACUAAGAAGCCCCGGCUAACUACGUGCCAGCAGCCGCGGUAAUACGUAGGGGGCAAGCGUUAUCCGGAUUUACUGGGGGUAAAGGGGGCGUAGACGGCGAUGCAAGUCUGAAGUGAAAGGCGGGGGCCCAACCUCCGGACUGCUUUGGAAACUGUAUGGCUGGAGGGCAGGAGAGGUAAGUGGAAUUCCUAGUGUAGCGGUGAAAUGCGUAGAUAUUAGGAGGAACACCAGUGGCGAAGGCGGCUUACUGGACUGUAACUGACGUUGAGGCUCGAAAGCGUGGGGAGCAAACAGGAUUAGAUACCCUUGUAGUC